GGGUAAUACCUACUGGAGGACCGAACAAGUGGGUGUUAAAAAACCCUUUGAUGAACUGUGGAUAGCGGUGAAAUUCCAAUCGAACUCGGAGAUAGCUGGUUCUAUCCGAAAUACAUUUAGGUGUAGCCUUGCAAUUAGCUUACUGGAGGUAGAGCACUAUUUGGUCUAGGGGCCCUUCAAGGGUUACCAAAAUCAGAUAAACUCCGAAUGCCAGCUAAGUAUGUGCAGGAGUCAGACGGUGAGUGAUAAGAUCCAUCGUCAAAAGGGGAACAGCCCAGAUCACCAGUUAAGGUCCCUAAAUAUAUGCUAAGUGGAAAACGUUGUGAAGGUGCAUAGACAACUAGGAGGUUGGCUCAGAAGCAGCCACCCUUUAAAGAGUGCGUAAUAGCUCACUAGUCGAGUGCUCUUGCGCGGAUAAUGUACCGGGGCUAAGCAUAUUACCGAAACUGUGGAUGCGUAAGCAUGGUAGGAUAGCGUAAUUAACGCGAUGAAGGAUGACCGUAAGGACAUGUUGGAGCGUUAACUAGUGAGAAUUCCGGUAUGAGUAGCGAAAGAUAGGUGAGAAUCCUAUCCACCGAAUGAGUAAGGUUUCCCCCGGAAGGCUCGUCCGCGGGGGGUUAGUCGGGACCUAAGGCGAGGCUGAAAAGCGUAGUCGAUGGACAACAGGUUGAUAUUCCUGUAC
rnacentral:rRNA from 1 species